UCACAGGGGUCGGUGGGGCCCUUUUGUUCCUGCUCCUGCUCGUGGGUGUCAUUGUGGCCUGGCACUGGUGGCACCGCUGGGAUGCCAGGAGGCACCAGCAAAGGGCACCCCCAGAGCCCCUGGCACCCUCAGUGGAGGAUCCUCAGGCGACGUACAUGGAGCUGCAAUGGCAACCGUGGGAACCCAGGGACAUCUAUGACAAUCUACACCAGAAGUUGUGAUGCUCUGGGAAGCAGGAGGCACUGGGUGACACUGGGGGUGCUCCCUCCAUGGCUCCUGUGCUUGCCCAUCCUUCCAAGGGAGGUGGUCAUGGGUCAGGGGGAGGCUACACAGGGCACCCUCUGCUCCCCAUUUCCUCUCCCACUACCCCCAAGGGCUCCCCCAUCCCUUUCCUCGUACCUGCAGGGCCUCCCCAGCCCCAUCCCAGUGCCCAAGUACCCUCAGUGACUGCCCCAUUCUCUCCCCACAGUGCUUGCAGUACAGCCAGGGCUUCCCCAUUCCCCCUCCCACUACCCCUGUCCCAUCCCGCUGUAAAAGGGGGAGUUGGGGAGGAUUCCUUCUGAGAGGUUUCUCAGAUGAAAAUGAAGCACAAACAUGGCUAUAUUA